rnacentral:rRNA from 1 species
UGGCGGACGGGUGAGUAAUGUCUGGGAAACUGCCUGAUGGAGGGGGAUAACUACUGGAAACGGUAGCUAAUACCGCAUAACGUCGCAAGACCAAAGAGGGGGACCUUCGGGCCUCUUGCCAUCAGAUGUGCCCAGAUGGGAUUAGCUAGUAGGUGGGGUAACGGCUCACCUAGGCGACGAUCCCUAGCUGGUCUGAGAGGAUGACCAGCCACACUGGAACCGAGACACGGUCCAG